rnacentral:lncRNA from 1 species
GUGGAGCUGGGACCGGGCGAGGCGGAGCUGGGGAGCCGAGCCAAGCGGGCUCAGGACUGCCUAGCAGUGCAGCACUACAGCUAUCUGGCUCUCCUGCUGUGUCGCUCUUAAAUGCGUGUCUGGAGUUCCUCUGGCGAAUGGUGGGCUGUUUGUCUCAUUUCCUCUGAUGAGAUACUUGAGGGAUCCUUGUUGAAAAAACAUCAGCAUCCCCCUUCUGACUGAGCAAAGAGGCAAAAACCAUGGAGUCUGACUGCAACAAACCAGGAAGACAAAUCUGAUUGGCUGCUGGCUUUUUGCUCACAACCACCUUUGGUGAAUUUUGUGAAACACAAUGUAUCAAAUUAUUUAAAAAAAUCCUUUCCCUUCUACACGCGUAACUGGUGUUUAAGGUUGAGUGUGUGUGUGUGUGUGUGUGUGUGUGUGUGUGUGUGUGUAUCUGUGGUGUUAGAGCUGGGAUGUGUGUCUGUGAGUCUGGUGUUUGAGAAGGGUUGCUGGGUUCCUGUGUGGUAUAGCUUAGGGCACAUUAGUAUUGAACUAAUGGGAAGACAACAUGACUUGUUUCUAACUCUUCAUUUAUACAUUAUUGAAUAUAACCUUUUUUUCUUAUCAGUUUUAACUGUUAAGGGAGACUAACAGAUAUAUCCCUCAGAGGGUGGAAGGGUGGGUUCUUAGUGUACUUUAACAUCUAAAGGUCCCUGUGGUAACUGGACUUCCCAGAUCUCCCCGCCCCCAAAAGCCCCUGACCUGAGUCACUUUUCCGGAGCAAGUCUCUUCCAGGGUAUUUCCUUGCAGGUGGCUGUUCCUAGGGAAGUCAUUUGUCCAGAUUCUUGGCUUUGAUUCCUCUCCAAGACAGAGUGGCACUCUAAGACCUCUGGCGUCAAGAUGGUCACGACCUGCGCACCCAGGAAGGAAGACGCUGGAGCCAGGGGGGAGAUAAACAGGGUUCUGGAAGGGCCUCCCGACUACAGUAGCGGAUCAGACUCAGGAUCACCCAGUGGUCUAACACAGGCUCAGGUCAGGAGCAGACAACACGUGACACUGAGUUGAAGGUGCCCUCUGGCAAGCAGAAUGAGGGUGGUUCAGAAUGACGAGUAAAC